UAAAAAGUAGUGUUUAUGCACGUAGAGAUUUGACUUCUAAAGUAAAAUAAAGUAUUUUCUUUUUAA
rnacentral:tRNA from 1 species